AUAGGAACAAUACUCUGCUUAAUUUAUACUCUGACCAGGGAAACCUUAUGGUAUCGUAUCAGAUGACACCUCUGAUGAUAACUUCAAAAUUAAUCCUUGGCAAUUUCUGAGUUAGCAGACAUUGACCAACAGGCAUAGAUCGCCAUUCCCCGCCAAAGCUAUGGAGAGCAUCCCUAGAUUCUUAGUAUGGGCCCCGAUGUAAUCAAACACCCGAUCUGUAAGGAGGCCAGAAAGGGCAAGUCGCCACGAUCCCUUGCAGUGAUGGACAAACAAUGGCCACAAAACCAGUAUGGAGCGGUCCAAGGGUUAGGUAAUCUGGAGUUUGAGGCUUGACUAAACACAAACGAAAACAAGUGGAGCUUAGGGCAGCCAGAUGAGACUGCUACAAGGCCUCUCUCAGUCAAGGAUACAUUCGUCAUCUUCAAUAUAAUCUAGCACCUGCAGUCACAUUUAGAAGGAAAGAAUAGAACUCUUUUCCAGUAAGGACGGAAGUGUAACAGAUAGGCUUCAUAUAUAGAUUAGAUUCCUAUUAGAUCUAAACUAAUCCAAACUAUGUAAGAAACCUACCCGUUACAGGAAGUACUUAGAAAAGGGCAAUCUAAGAAGACAAAUAUACUCCCUCAUUUUCUAGUUACGUGUCUUACUUUCUUUUAUCCUGUUUGGAAAAGAACGCAUCAUUUUAAUUUCAACAUUCCCAUUUGACCAUUAAUGAUGCUCUUUUGUGGGAAUGGUACUGCAGGUUUCAGACCAAAAAACGCGACAUCAAGCCCACCUUGAGUUGCAGAUGGUCAUCGUCACAGUCUGUCGGAUCUUGUGGAAGUUGCACCUUUGGCAACUAGCCUUGCAGAAACGGCUGUUGGAGCAAAUAUCAAAUCUCUUAAGUGUCAAUACAACGGCACAUCUUGCUAUUACUAUUAUACUGGGAGUUUGCUUUACAUAAAACAGACAGUGGAUUCCUCUUGGAUGACUUAGGCAGAUAAUGGGUUAUAUAUCCUUGCUCACAGCUAAAAUUCUUUGCUCACAGAUAUAUCCCACUUCUUGAUCACCUGAUGAUUUAUCACAAAUUACUGACGGUAUUUCUUGAAAGAUUUACAAAUCAGGAAUUACUUCAUGCAUUGCUUGACAUAAAACUGUUGGUCGAUUCUUCUUUGAUGGUCUAGGCAGAUGCUCGGGUGAUGUAUCUGUGCUACUCUUGAAUGAUUCUGAGCAACAGAUUUUCCAUCCUCAUCCUUAUCUUCCUGCAACGGCAAUUAUAUCCCAACACUGUCAAAUUUGUAUUUCAGAAAGCACUAAAGAAUUGACCAGUUCUGUUUCUAUAUAUAGAUAUAUUGAACAUAAGACUCUUAGCAUAAUUAUGAAACUGACGAUAACACACUUGGAAAAAACAUACACAAUAAAGGUCAGAUAGCAUUUCUCGGAACAUAACCAUAUGCAUCAGGGUUCUGAAGGCGAUAGACUUGUUGAAAUGUCACUCCAUGUAGUAUGUGCUUGUCUACCAAAGUUAAUGAACUUAAAGGCGACACCUGCAGAAAAGAAACCAUGGUUAGAAGAUAUUAGUGAUGAAAAUGAGAGUAUCCAAAGUUCGAAAAGAAUUAACCUUCAGGAAUAUUGUUAGAACCUCCAUUACGUUGGACUCAUUCGAUUUUGUCUGAAGUUUGAGAUGGCAUAGCCAGCAUCGAUAUAUUAAUAGGCACAUGAUGCCAAAUGAUGUACAACAACUCCAAAUUCUUAUCAAUGGUUGAUACCACUUCAGGUUGCCUUAGAAUUUGUCAAUGACUUCAGUAUCUGAAGAGUUUUACAUGUUUGUGAUGAUGGUAUUUCUUGAAGGAUAACUUUCAUCAUAUGGUAGAGAGGUUGCCGACCUUUUUUUUCACUUCCUUCUUUCCCAUAUAGCAGAGAGUCGGCAACUCCAAUUAUGUUUCAAAGAGACAUUUACAGUUGAAGUCGCUGGAGUCUGAUGGUAGCAAACUCGCAGUGCUAGACAAAGCAGCAGCACACAGACUAGAAGGUGAACUGAGCAUGGUGGAGGAGAUGGGGUUCUGCUUUUUGAAAGAAUGAAAGAAACUUUUACUCCGUAUUAUUUAUGCUUCAGAUUAUGAACUUUUGAAUGACAAUUCAUUAAACAUAUGUACAAC
rnacentral:lncRNA from 1 species